rnacentral:misc_RNA from 1 species
CAGUCAUAACAAGGUUUCCAUAGGUGAACCUGCGGAAGGAUCAUGAGCGAAUUUGUAGCCUCUGAGGUUCACAUUCUCUAUCCUUCACACACCUGUGGACCCUUCUGAAGCAGAGAGUUAUUAGGCAUCUGCCGAGCACCUCCCUUCGCGCAUCACAUCAACUUCAAACUAUGUUUACUAGAAUGUACAAUAAAACUCUCAGCAAUGGAUAUUUUGGUCCAGGCACAG